GCCUGGGUGGCUCAGUCAGUUAAGCGUCUGACUGUGACUCAGGUCAUGAUCUCACAGCUUGUGAGUUCAAGCCCCACAUCGGGCU
rnacentral:tRNA from 1 species